rnacentral:rRNA from 1 species
UCUUACCUACGGGAGGCAGUAGUGGGGAAUAUUGCGCAAUGGGCGAAAGCCUGACGCAGCGACGCCGCGUGAGGGAUGAAGGUCUUCGGAUCGUAAACCUCUGUCAGCAGGGAAGAACGGUCACUGUGCUAAUCAGCAGUGAAUUGACGGUACCUGCAAAGGAAGCACCGGCUAACUCCGUGCCAGCAGCCGCGGUAAUACGGAGGGUGCGAGCGUUAAUCGGAAUUACUGGGCGUAAAGCGCUCGUAGGCGGUAUGUCAAGUCAAGGGUGAAAUCCCAGGGCUCAACGGGGGAACUGCCAUUGG